rnacentral:rRNA from 1 species
GGAGAACGGACAGCGUAUGCGUGCCUGCGGAGGGUCAUUA